rnacentral:rRNA from 1 species
AUGCAUCGGGCGUUGAGGUACUUCACGGAUCCGUGGUGCUCGCGGUCUUGGUCACGCUGGAAGGCACUUGGUGAAACCAUUCAGGGAGGAAGCAACAGAGUGAUGCUAGCGGCUGGUGGAACUCCACGGGCAACACCACACGGGUGUACAAAGGCAAAACUUGUGGCGCUGCACCUAUGCGGGUGCCAAAGGGAACGAUGCCGGGUCGAGGCAGAAGACCGGCAACGCAGCUGCGGGCUCCGGGAGGUGUGGCUCUGA